rnacentral:rRNA from 1 species
AAUAUUGGUCAAUAGCCUAACGGGCUGAACCAGCAACUUGGAGGAAUGAAAAGCAAUAGCUGAUUGCAUUUAAAUGUAGUUACUACUUGGUAGUUUAAAUUUCUAGGUAGAAUUAUGAUGAUGACAUUAUCUAUCUAUUAGUCUUGACCAAAUUACGUGCCAGCAGUCGCGGUAAUACGUAGAAGACAAGUGUUAUUCAUCUUUAUUAGGUUUAAAGAGUACCAAGACGGUUAAUAAAGCCCAAAAUAAAUGAAUACGGGGGACACAUUAACUAGAGUUAUAUGAAAGGAAGCUCUUAGGUACUGUUGAGUGUAGAGAUGAAAUUUUAUGAUACCAGAUGAGUGGCACAGAUUUAUGCGAAGGCAUCUUCUUAUGUAAUAACUGACGUUGUAGGACGAAGGCUUAGGAAGUGAACAGGAUUAGGUACCCCAGUAAUCUAGGCAGAAAAUGAUGAAUGUCAUAGGUAUUAUUGUGUCUAUAAAUGAAAGUGUAAGCAUUCCACCUCAAGAGUAAUUUGGCAACAUUGGAACUGAAAUCAUUAGACCGUUUCUGAAACCAGUAGUGAAGUAUGUUGUUUAAUUAGAUGAUACACAAAAACCUUACCACAAUUUGAAUAUAUAUAAAAUAUAUUUACAAGCGCUGCACGGCUGUCUACAGUUAAUGUCGUGAGACUUUGGUUAGCUCCAUUAAAUUGACGUAAACCCAAAUUUUAUUUAUAAAUAUAAUUAACAUUGCUAUAUUUGAUGUUUUAAGAGGGAAC